rnacentral:lncRNA from 1 species
CUAUAGUCAAAAGUAUUUUUAAAUAUUUUAUUUUGAGGCAAUUCUUCUCCCAAAGUUACAUCAUAUGAAGAUAUGAUUUUACAAAUUUUGUUGCAUUUUAUUUGGAGUGAUUUGGAGCUCUAAAUCAAAAGUUGUGUUCAAAAUCAGAAAAUAGAAAAAAAAAAGAAAAAAAAAAGAAAAACUGGACCGAACCGGCCGAAUAGGACUGAACCGGGCCAAACCGACCAGCCCGCGCCCGAGCCGCCCGCGGUCACUGCCAGGUGGGCCCCACGCCAUCUUCAACCUCCGUCCGGAUUCCACGCGCAACCCGAGUCCACGACGCCCACGACUCCUCUCGCGAUUUCUUCUCCAAAUCCAAGCGCGUCAGUUUGAAGCUCCCGCUUUUCUCCUCCACUUCCCCAAAACCGUCCACUCGAUUGCGCCCCGGUUUCACGUGAAUUUCUCACCGAAAUUCGUCUUGGCCGCCGCCGUUUUUGCGCCGCCGCCGCCGCUCUGGUGAGCCCCCGACGCCGCCGAACCCCUAUCCCUCCUCCUCUCCCUCUUGCAC